CAGAGUCCGUAGGGGUGGCCGAUAGGGCCUGAGAACAAACCCUUCGAACCUGAACCGGGUAAUGCCGACGUAGGGAACGGUCCGCAUAAAGCC
rnacentral:ncRNA from 2 species